rnacentral:lncRNA from 1 species
CUGUCUGCCUGCAUGAGCUGGGACAUCUUAUCUCUCUGGCCCUAGAACUGGGAUUUACACCAGUGACUCCCCUGGUUCUCAGGCUUUCAGACUCAGACUGAAUUACACCGUGGGCUUUCCUGGGACUCUGAUGGCAAUUUGUGGGACUUCUCAGCCUCCGUAAUUGGUGAGCCAUAGCAGAUACUUCAAUGCUCCAGUGAUGUUGGACUUGGGCUAUGUGACUUGCCCUUAAUGAUGGAAUGUGGGUGGAAGUGAAAGUGUGUCAAUUCCCAGCUAUAAGCAUUGCAUGUUUCUGUUUACACCUUUGAAUGUAUGCCACCCUCCAUGAGAAGAACAAGCCACAGGUAACCACUGAUCUCAGAACAAAGAACCUUUGAAACAGACUUGAACUCAACCCACAGCCUAAAACAGAACCACACUAGCUGAACUGCAGAGCAAUGAGCCAGAAAUAAAUCAUUGUUAU